GUAAAAUGUCACUCAAUGAUCUUAAUAUGGAACAUGUCCCAUCUGAAGUGUUUCCCACUAAUUGGACGGUCUAGUCUGAGAUACAAAUAUGCCAACGUGUACGAUUCUGUGUGGACGUGUAAGAAUCGUUACACUCCGCCGAGUAUUAUAUGUUAUUUUGGGAUCCUUAGUUUCGAAGCAAAACGACUCCUUGGAGCUUAUAAAACUCUCUGAACUGUCGCUUCUUUCUUCCAUUUCUCAGAGAGAGAGAGAGAGAGAGAGAGAGAGAAAAUGUACGGCCCACCAUCGAAUCAGGAGAUGUCAUACUACGAGCACGUGCAGAAGCGGCACGAGGAGAAGGGCUGCCUCUACGCUUGCUUGUUCGCUGCGUGUUGCUGCUUUUGCUGCUACGAGACGUGCGAGUGCUGCUUUGACAUUCUCUGCUGUUGCUGCCCUUAAAAUGCAAUCCCCAUUACCCCAUUUGGCUGUUAUCAGUUUUAGUUUUCUCAAAUCUACUUCUUCAUGCUUUAGGAUAUGGACUUGCUGCUAGGAAUGGGGGGUUGAAUUAAGUAGUUUGUGUGAAUUUUCCCUUCACAAAUAACUAUGAAAUUGUGAUUUGGGCUUGUUGUUA